AUUGAACGCUGGCGGCAGGCCUAACACAUGCAAGUCGAACGAGUGGCGGACGCGUGAGUAAUGUCUGGGAAACUGCCCGCUGGAGGGGGAUAACAACUGGAAACGGUAGCUAAUAACGCAUACCCUAGGAUGUGCCCAGAUGGGAUUAGCUUGUGGGUGGGGUAACGGCUCACCUCGGCGACGAUCCCUAGCUGGGCUGUGAGGAUGACCAGCCAAACUGGAACUGAGACACGGUCCAGACUCCUACGGGAGGCAGCAGUGGGGAAUAUUGCACAAUGGGCGCAAGCCUGAUGCAGCCAUGCCGCGUGUAUGAAGAAGGCCUUCGGGUUGUAAAGUACUUUCAGCGGGGAGGCGUUACCCGCAGAAGAAGCACCGGCUAACUCCGUGCCAGCCGCCGCGGUAAUAC
rnacentral:rRNA from 1 species